rnacentral:rRNA from 1 species
CAGGCGGUUUGUUAAGCUAGAUGUGAAAGCCCCGGGCUCAACCUGGGAUGGUCAUUUAGAACUGGCAGACUAGAGUCUUGGAGAGGGGAGUGGAAUUCCAGGUGUAGCGGUGAAAUGCGUAGAUAUCUGGAGGAACAUCAGUGGCGAAGGCGACUCCCUGGCCAAAGACUGACGCUCAUGUGCGAAAGUGUGGGUAGCGAACAGGAUUAGAUACCCUGGUAGUCCACACCGUAAACGCUGUCUACUAGCUGUGUGUGCCUUUAAGGCGUGCGUAGCGAAGCUAACGCGAUAAGUAGACCGCCUGGGGAGUACGGCCGCAAGGUUAAAACUCAAAUGAAUUGACGG